UACGUAGGGGGCGAGCGUUGUCCGGAAUCAUUGGGCGUAAAGCGCGUGUAGGCGGCCCGGUAAGUCCGCUGUGAAAGUCGGGGGCUCAACCCUCGAAUGCCGGUGGAUACUGUCGGGCUAGAGUGCGGGAGAGGCGAGUGGAAUUCCUGGUGUAGCGGUGGAAUGCGCAGAUAUCAGGAGGAACACCUAUAGCGAAGGCAGCUCGCUGGGACGGUACUGACGCUGAGGCGCGAAAGCGUGGGGAGCGAACAGG
rnacentral:rRNA from 1 species